CUGUGUGAAGGCCGCGUAAAGAGUCAUAAGGACCACCGCUCUGGGUUGUGGCGGACCCCCCUAGUGGCUCGACGGGGCGCUAGUUGAGCUGGGUUGCAAACCCCGGGGACUUGGAGCCCCCCGAAAAGAAGUGUGUGUUAUUGUUGAAUUCUGUGCGAGGUGAUAUGCCGCACAGAAAAAUUCAGUGGAGACUGAGUUUCUCUCUGCUGUGUUAUUGUUGAAUUCUGUGCGAGGUGAUAUGCCGCACAGAAAAAUUCAGUAGAGACUGAGUUUCUCUCUGCUGUGUUAUUGUUGAAUUCUGUGCGAGGUGAUAUGCCGCACAGAAAAAUUCAGUAGAGACUGAGUUUCUCUCUGCUGUGUUAUUGUUGAAUUCUGUGCGAGGUGAUAUGCCGCACAGAAAAAUUCAGUAGAGACUGAGUUUCUCUCUGCUGUGUGAUUGUUGAAUUCUGUGCGAGGUGAUAUGCCGCACAGAAAAAUUCAGUAGAGACUGAGUUUCUCUCUGCUGCGUGAUUGUUGAAUUCUGUGCGAGGUGAUAUGCCGCACAGAAAAAUU